CUUAAAUAUGAUGACAACUACCGCCCCAGUCUGAUAAAUCAUGACUGACUGGUAUCUCUGAUCAACA
ensembl:snoRNA SNORD31 Small nucleolar RNA SNORD31